rnacentral:rRNA from 1 species
UACAGAGGUCUCAAGCGUUGUCCGGAAUCAUUGGGCGUAAAGCGCGCGUAGGUGGCUUCGUAAGUCCGUUGUGAAAGUCGAAGGCUCAACCUUUGAAUGCCGAUGGAUACUGCGAAGCUAGAGUACGGAAGAGGCGAGUGGAAUUCCUGGUGUAGCGGUGGAAUGCGCAGAUAUCAGGAGGAACACCAAUAGCGAAGGCAGCUCGCUGGGACGUUACUGACACUAAGGCGCGAAAGCGUGGGGAGCGAACAGG